UCUUCAAAGGAGAUAAGUGGUUUUCGACAAUCUAGAGUUUUAACGCCAAUUUCGGUUUCUAGUGGAUCCACUCGAGGACCUUUCUUAUUUCUUCUUUCCUCUCCCAGAAGCUCCUGAAGUGUCAAUUCACUGGACUCAGAGUUUUCAUUCUGAAGCUGAGAAAAAGAUAUUACUACUCAAGUAAACUCUACUGAAGUUAAAACUGCUACUACAGCUACUACUACCUAUGACCAUUAUUUGGGUUCUAAUAACUCUUAACAGAGCAACUAGAAAUUAUUACAGUCAUUCAAAAACAAAUAAAAGGAAGAAGCUAAGAGAGUAAAGACCACAA